GACGAACGCUGGCGGCGUGCUUAACACAUGCAAGUCGAACGGAAAGGCCCUGCUUGCAGGGUACUCGAGUGGCGAACGGGUGAGUAACACGUGGGGGAUCUGCCCUGCACUUCGGGAUAAGCCUGGGAAACUGGGUCUAAUACCGGAUAGGAGCCAGUUUUAGUGUGAUGGUUGGAAAGUUUUUUCGGUGUAGGAUGAGCUCGCGGCCUAUCAGCUUGUUGGUGGGGUAAUGGCCUACCAAGGCGGCGACGGGUAGCCGGCCUGAGAGGGUGGACGGCCACAUUGGGACUGAGAGACGGCGCAGACUGCUACGGGAGGCAGCAGUGGGGAAUAUUGCACAAUGGGCGCAAGCCAGAUGCAGCGACGCCGCGUGGGGGAUGACGGCCUUCGGGUUGUAAACUCCUUUCGCUAGGGACGAAGCUUUUUGUGACGGUACCUAGAUAAGAAGCACCGGCUAACUACGUG
rnacentral:rRNA from 1 species